CAUGUACAAAAGGACAGAAAACAUAAACUCAUGCCUGGCAGAGAGCUUCUACUCUGAAGAAACAACAACCGAAGUGUCACAGGAUGAAUCUAUGCUAUUUGGAGAGGGAGUAUACAUUUAACUUGAAGCAAUCCCUGGAAGAAAAAUUCUACUAGCAGAGAUGCUCUGAGCAGAGAGAAAGCCUGUCUAUAUAGUGAAAGAAUGAAACCAAUACAUUGAAAAAAACUGAGAAGAGAAAGAGGUAGAGACUUCAUCUGAUACAAGCAUGCUUGAAACAAGAGACACCUGUAUGAUUCCAUCUUCCCAGGAGCUAGCAGGCAGUUCUUGUUGAGUUCAAGCCAGUUGAGACCAUCAACCCUUCAACUGAGCCUGCAUGGCCCUGUUUUCAGGGAGGUGGAUUUGCGAUUUGUUCUCCUUCUCCUUGCUCAGCAGCCUGGUAAGCAAUCUCACAAAAUAAAAUCUUUUCUUUUUUGCAAA
rnacentral:lncRNA from 10 species